GGGAGGCAUGGCGGGCAUCUCACGGGGCUUAGGUGGCCCAAGAGAUGCCAGGCAGGCUGGGGGGGAGGAGGCGGCUGUGCCAACCAAAAGGAAGUUCUGAGGGUGGGAAAAGAAAUAGAAGGCUGCAACCAGAGAGUGAGAGGCCAAUUUACAUUUGUCAAAGAAAAUCAGAAGUUUAAUAUUUAUUUUAUCUUCUUUUUCUGCACUCCUGCCUUUCUCUUUUUCUUCUCUCCUUUUUUCUUCUCUCUCUACUCCAGUAGUUCUGGUUAGUUUUUAUCUGGCUUCUUCAAAAGUUUAAUGAAGUUAUAUAUAAAAAGCUUCUCCAUUCCUCCUGACCAGGAGCCACAGAGUCUCCGCUGGGGGCCCCACAAAGCAGCUCUCUCUGAAGCAGGGAAGGCCGCCUGGAAUCUGCCUUCGGCUCCAGCCAAACUCCAACCAUUGCACAGAUGUUUCCCGACCCAACUAGGUGACCUCAUCAGACCAAACACAUCCCCUCUGGCAGGCAACGCCCAGAUAAGCAGGGAUUAACCCCAGACAAAGAAGCAGAAAACAAUACUUCAAUCAAGGAACCACCAAGGAGACAGACGCCCCCCUCCCCAGAAUCCCUGGCAGGGCAGACUGCUGUUCAUGAACAGAGACCAAAGCCCACUUCCAUCCAGCACUGAUGAUGUUACCUAGUUGAGUCAUGAGACGUCUGCAAGGAAACAGCUCAGCUCAGAGUUCAACUCUUGAGCUGCAGGGAUUCUCUGCUAUUAAACCCUAAAUUCUUCCAUUUAUCUUGGGUGGGCAACACAUUUAAAUAAAAAAGCACCAUCUUCAAACUAGAUGAGAAUUUGCUGUUCUCA